CAGCCGCCGCGGUAAUACAGAGGGUGCAAGCGUUAAUCGGAUUUACUGGGCGUAAAGGGCGCGUAGGUGGUUAUGUAAGUGAGAUGUGAAAUCCCCGGGCUCAACCUGGGAACUGCAUCUUAUACUGCGUAGCUGGAGUGCAGUAGAGGGUAGUGGAAUUUCCGGUGUAGCGGUGAAAUGCGUAGAUAUCGGAAGGAACACCAGUGGCGGAGGCGGCUACCUGGACUGACACUGACACUGAGGCGCGAAAGCGUGGGGAGCAAACAGGAUUAGAGACCCCAGUAGUCCUGUCUCUUAUACC
rnacentral:rRNA from 1 species